GCCAGGUGUGGUGAAGCACACCUGUGUUCCCAGUUACUCAGGAGGCUGAGAUGGGAGGAUCACUUGAGUCCAAGUGAUUGAGAUCAGUCUGGGCAACGUGGAAGACCCUGUCUCAA
rnacentral:sRNA from 1 species